UACGUAGGCAGCGAGCGUUGUUCGGAGUUACUGGGCGUAAAGGGUGUGUAGGCGGUUGUUUAAGUUUGGUGUGAAAUCUCCCGGCUCAACUGGGAGGGUGCGCCGAAUACUGAAUGACUUCGAGUGCGGGAGAGGAGAGUGGAAUUCCUGGUGUAGCAGUGAAAUGCGUAGAUAUCAGGAAGAACACCCGUGGCGAAGGCGGCUCACUGGACCACAACUGACGCUGAGGCGCGAAAGCUAGGGGAGCAAACAGG
rnacentral:rRNA from 1 species